AGUGAACGCUGGCGGUAGGCCUAACACAUGCAAGUCGAACGGCAGCACAGGAGAGCUUGCUCUCUGGGUGGCGAGUGGCGGACGGGUGAGGAAUACAUCGGAAUCUACUUUUUCGUGGGGGAUAACGUAGGGAAACUUACGCUAAUACCGCAUACGACCUACGGGUGAAAGCAGGGGAUCUUCGGACCUUGCGCGAGUGAAUGAGCCGAUGUCGGAUUAGCUAGUUGGCGGGGUAAAGGCCCACCAAGGCGACGAUCCGUAGCUGGUCUGAGAGGAUGAUCAGCCACACUGGAACUGAGACACGGUCCAGACUCCUACGGGAGGCAGCAGUGGGGAAUAUUGGACAAUGGGCGCAAGCCUGAUCCAGCCAUACCGCGUGGGUGAAGAGGGCCUUCGGGUUGUAAAGCCCUUUUGUUGGGAAAGAAAUCCAGCUGGUUAAUACCCGGUUGGGAUGACGGUACCCAAAGAAUAAGCACCGGCUAACUUCGUGCCAGCAGCCGCAGUAA
rnacentral:rRNA from 1 species